rnacentral:lncRNA from 1 species
GCUAGAGGAUUCUUCUCCACACAUGGAACAUAUGCACACAAAUCGAUCUCCAGUUACUCUUUCUAUAAAGUAUGAAUGACAAAGCCCCAAAUUAAUUGUGAACGCACUAAUUAACUCUCAGAUCUUCCUAAGUUCAUUGAAUUGGACUCAGGGAUGCAAUCAAAUUAUCCUUAUCAAGUUCUCUAUAUGAACAGCAUGAUAGAGAAACAAAUCAAAGAUCAUUAAGUUCUAUGAAAAUCAUAAGCCUUGACAAGGCAUUUGUAACUAUGAAAAGCAUGAUACUCCUGCCAGGAAUUUACUUAACGCAAUCAUGACUAGUGACUUUUACUACUUGUGAAUAUAAGUUCAUAACGAUUAGGUGAAAUUCUCUUAUAUUCUAGCAUCAAAUCCCUGCAUACAAACUAAGUAUGCAUCCUUAAUAAACAUACAAGAAUAAGUCCACAAUAAAAUAGAAAAGUAAAUCACAUUCAUACUUUAUGAAACCAUAACUGGAAGUAAUCAAUUCAUAUAAAACAUAUGUCCAUGGCUUCGAAUUCACCUCUAACUUAGAAGAGAUUCAGUCACACAUGUUCAUAAUAAUUGAAAAGCAAUCUAGAAUAAACAUUUAAACUAAUCAAGGGAAGAACUCUAAAAACCCCAAUGGAUGCAGCAGGUUCCGGCUCCAAGUUCUUCUUCUCUCUUUCUCCUUUCUUGCUACGGCACCCAAGAACCCCUUUCUCCUACGGCAACCCCUCCUUUAUAUAUGUGGUAGAUCUAGGGUAAAAGGGCCCAGCAGAAAACCUAGAAAUUAGGGUUUUGUUUGGCAGAUUUAUUUAGGAACAAGGAUAGGGCCCAGGCGCCACCUUUUUAGGAAAGAGGU